CAAAUAGCACAAUGUGGACAGUCUCCAACCCAGAGCCAGGUAUUAUUCUCUCCUGUGAACACAGAAAGACUCAAACCCAGGGAGGAGAAGUGACCUACCUGUGAUCACAGGACUUGCCAAUGAUAGAACUAUGUUCAGUUUCUCAUUACUUCUAGCAAAUUGGCAAAUUAUACUAAGGGAGUAGAGGUAGAGUUGAGUUCAUGUACAACAAUAUAGAAAUCAGCUAAAGUGGAUCAGAGCAGGAAGUUUUACAAUUCAGGGAAAGGUUAAGAUAGAAAGGGAUCCUUUCCCCCAAUCAAGAAAGACAGCCUUGGACCACCAGUUAGAGAAUCCCCCAAUUUUCUCUCUGCCAUAAGUCACUGAAACUGAGAGCUAAGGCAGGGCCUCUGUGAGUCAUGAGCACUUAAUCCAGCGGGAGACCUCAGAACAGGAUAUUUCCUUUUUUGAGAUUCCCUGUCAUACCAGUUAUGGAUAAAUUUGCAUUUUGGAUGGGACAUUACUGGACCAGCCCAUUUUAGGCAGUUCCGUUUCCCCCUGGGUGGGGCAGCAGGCCCUGUGAAGAGGUUCUCAGCCUCAUGACUCCUAAACUCCUGGUACUUGAGCACCGAUCUGCUUUGGAGAACCUGAUUCUGAGACUCCAGCAGGAUGUCUUAUCAACAGUAGCAAUGUAAGCAGCCCUGCCAGCCACCUCCUGUGUGCCGCCUGCCAAAGCGUCCAGAGCCAUGUCCACCCCUGAAGUGCCCUGAGCCCUGCCCACCACCAAAGUGUCCACAGCCCUGCCCACCUCAGCAGUGCCAGCAGAAAUAUCCUCUGGUGACACCUUCCCCACCCUGCCAGCCAAAGUGUCCACCCAAGAGCAAGUAACAGCUUCGGAAUUCAUCAGGACCACGAAAGGAUAGGGAUAAUUGGCUCACCUCGUUCCACAGCUCCACCUGCAUCUUCUCAUCAAAGCCAUCCAGGGAUACACAGGGAGCUUCUUUCCCCUUAGCCUGUGAUCUGCCCAUGAUGAUCCCCGACAGCAAAAUGUUUCCUUUCUGAGGCUGCCAUGCUGCCACUGUCCAGGUGGAGACUGAGCAAAGGAAGUCCUGGGCUGUGCCAGCUCCCAGAGCUUCAGAAGAAAGAGCAGCUCUCUCCCUGGGAACCAUUAGAGAAUUCUGUUGAUGUUUUCUGUGUCUGUCUGUCCCCUGGGCAUGAGCUUCCACCACCUGUGCAGUUGUCACUUUCCUUUCACUCCCUGAAUAAAGAAUCUAUGCAUAUAUAUUUGUGAAUGGAUCUUUUGUUUCUUUUCAAAUAUGCUUUAUUAGCAAUAUUUUAUAAUCAUUUGGGUAUAUUUCCACUUUUCUUUCAUCCACAGACAGGAUCUCACAAUUUG
rnacentral:lncRNA from 1 species